rnacentral:tRNA from 1 species
GGGUAGGUGUCCGAGCGGUUGAAGGAGCACGCCUGGAACGCGUGUAGGUGUAACAGCCUCGUGGGUUCAAAUCCCACCCUAUCCGCCA